UCUGGGCGUAAGCGUGCGCAGGCGGUUAUGUCAGAUCGAUGUUGAAUCCCUGGGCUUAACCUGGGAACUGCCUUGCUGACUGCAUGGCUUUAGUGCGGGAGAGGGGGAUGGAAUUUCCUGUGUAACCGUGAAAUGCCUAGAUAUUCGGAAGAAUACCGAUGGCGAAAGCAGCCUCCUGGGAUCUUUCUGACGCUCAUGCACCAAAGCGUGGGGAGCAAACCGGAUUAGAUACCCUGGUAGUCCACGCCCUAAACGAUGUCAACUAAGUGUUGGGGAUUCUUCUUCUCAGUAACGAAGCUAACGCGUGAAGUUGACCGCCUGGGGAGUAAGGACGCCCGAUUG
rnacentral:rRNA from 1 species